rnacentral:rRNA from 1 species
CUCAGAUUGAACGCUGGCGGCAGGCCUAACACAUGCAAGUCGAGCGGAAACGAAGGGAGCUUGCUCCCAGGCGUCGAGCGGCGGACGGGUGAGUAAUGCAUAGGAAUCUGCCCGAUAGUGGGGGAUAACCUGGGGAAACCCAGGCUAAUACCGCAUACGUCCUACGGGAGAAAGCAGGGGCUCUUCGGACCUUGCGCUAUCGGAUGAGCCUAUGUCGGAUUAGCUGGUUGGUGAGGUAAUGGCUCACCAAGGCGACGAUCCGUAGCUGGUCUGAGAGGAUGAUCAGCCACAUCGGGACUGAGACACGGCCCGAACUCCUACGGGAGGCAGCAGUGGGGAAUAUUGGACAAUGGGCGAAAGCCUGAUCCAGCCAUGCCGCGUGUGUGAAGAAGGCCCUCGGGUUGUAAAGCACUUUCAGUGGGGAAGAAAGCCUUGGGGCUAAUACCCUCGAGGAAGGACAUCACCCACAGAAGAAGCACCGGCUAACUCCGUGCCAGCAGCCGCGGUAAUACGGAGGGUGCGAGCGUUAAUCGGAAUUACUGGGCGUAAAGCGCGCGUAGGUGGCUUGAUAAGCCGGUUGUGAAAGCCCCGGGCUCAACCUGGGAACGGCAUCCGGAACUGUCAGGCUAGAGUGCAGGAGAGGAAGGUAGAAUUCCCGGUGUAGCGGUGAAAUGCGUAGAGAUCGGGAGGAAUACCAGUGGCGAAGGCGGCCUUCUGGACUGACACUGACACUGAGGUGCGAAAGCGUGGGUAGCAAACAGGAUUAGAUACCCUGGUAGUCCACGCCGUAAACGAUGUCGACUAGCCGUUGGGAGCCUCGAGUUCUUAGUGGCGCAGUUAACGCGAUAAGUCGACCGCCUGGGGAGUACGGCCGCAAGGUUAAAACUCAAAUGAAUUGACGGGGGCCCGCACAAGCGGUGGAGCAUGUGGUUUAAUUCGAUGCAACGCGAAGAACCUUACCUACCCUUGACAUCGUGCGAACUUGGUAGAGAUACCUUGGUGCCUUCGGGAACGCACAGACAGGUGCUGCAUGGCUGUCGUCAGCUCGUGUUGUGAAAUGUUGGGUUAAGUCCCGUAACGAGCGCAACCCUUGUCCCUAUUUGCCAGCGAUUCGGUCGGGAACUCUAGGGAGACUGCCGGUGACAAACCGGAGGAAGGUGGGGACGACGUCAAGUCAUCAUGGCCCUUACGGGUAGGGCUACACACGUGCUACAAUGGUCGGUACAAAGGGUUGCAAAGCGGCGACGUGGAGCUAAUCCCAGAAAGCUGAUCUCAGUCCGGAUCGGAGUCUGCAACUCGACUCCGUGAAGUCGGAAUCGCUAGUAAUCGUGAAUCAGAAUGUCACGGUGAAUACGUUCCCGGGCCUUGUACACACCGCCCGUCACACCAUGGGAGUGGACUGCACCAGAAGUGGUUAGCCUAACUUCGGAGGGCGAUCACCACGGUGUGGUUCAUGACUGGGGUGAAGUCGUAC